CUGCCCUGUUAGAGAAGGGACAAGUCCCUGAUGGACGAAGAGACAUCUCUCAUAGAACACCUGCCCUGUUAGAGAAGGGAAAAGUCCCUGAAGGACGAAGAGACAUCUCUCAUAGAACACCUGCCCUGUUAGAGAAGGGACAAGUCCCAAACCAGUGAGCGGAAAUUGACUCAGGGACCUGUGACAUCAUCGGUCACGUUAAAGAGAGACAUCACUCUGCUAAAAGCCAAAAAGACUUCUGCUGCAUCCUCACUGCCCGUACUCACACACUGAACAAAGGUCGGCUCAUGUCAGAGCUGCAAGGUAAGGUCCUUUCUGGUGUCACAAGUCAUCAGGAGACACUGGAGAAAAACCUCAACCAGAGCUGGGCUAGCUGGCUGGCUGGAGACAGACAGUCUGCUGGGAGAGAGGCACUAAGUCUAAUAUUAGAUGCACUACACUGUAAAUGUCAUGGGAGAUCUGUAUUACAUCCAUAACUGUCUUGCUCACGUCUUGUUUUGACUGAGUUGAAUUCAACGAAGCAAUGCUACACAUACUGUAAAUCACAGCACUUUAUAGAACUCGGUUGCGUCAUGGAAAGAUGUUCCUUAUUUUUCUACGGUCUACAAAUAAAGACUGUUGUCAAUAUGUGGGCUGUUGUUUCCAUAUGAUCUGUCUUCAUAUCCUCCAGGAACAAAUGAAAACUGUUUCAAAGUGGGGAAAAACCUAAAUGAUGAUCUACUGUUAUCUGUCUACCAGUACAAUUYUAUCAAACCCAGAGCUAUCCCAUUUCUUCCUGUUGUGACAUCAUACUGUUUCAGCUGAGAGAGACACUUCCUGACUGAUAAAGUGACUGUGUAUCAACCAAUGAUGAACAAGAGACUGGGAGAGAGAGAGAACUAUGGGUGACUCAGUGUUGCCUAAUGAGGAUUUUUAGAAUUGUUUAUACUGUGGAAUGUUCAGAGUGAGAAAUAUUCUGAUGAUAAGAGUGCUGACGUUAGUUUCUUACCCUACUUCCUCAUAYAAAUCGGUGACCUGGCAAAUGAA